rnacentral:rRNA from 1 species
CCUACGGGGGGCUGCAGUGGGGAAUAUUGGACAAUGGGCGAAAGCCUGAUCCAGCCAUGCCGCGUGUGUGAAGAAGGCCUUCGGGUUGUAAAGCACUUUCAGUGGGGAAGAAAGCCUUGGGGCUAAUACCCUCGAGGAAGGACAUCACCCACAGAAGAAGCACCGGCUAACUCCGUGCCAGCAGCCGCGGUAAUACGGAGGGUGCGAGCGUUAAUCGGAAUUACUGGGCGUAAAGCGCGCGUAGGCGGUCUGAUAAGCCGGUUGUGAAAGCCCCGGGCUCAACCUGGGAACGGCAUCCGGAACUGUCAGGCUAGAGUGCAGGAGAGGAAGGUAGAAUUCCCGGUGUAGCGGUGAAAUGCGUAGAGAUCGGGAGGAAUACCAGUGGUGAAGGCGGCCUUCUGGACUGACACUGACGCUGAGGUGCGAAAGCGUGGGUAGCAAACAGGAUUAGAUACCCGUGUAGUC